CCCAGGGCACCCGGGACAGGGAGGGCCCUCUUCAGAGGCAGAGGGCCCUGGGAAGGGAAAUAUACGGAGCAUCCCAUAAAGGAAACAAGUUGAGAGUUUGCUCACACUAGGGAGAGCUGCCUUGACUCUGCUGUUCAUCCCAACACCACCCCGGGGGCUUUCAGGCCCUUCGAUUGCUGCUUUGGGUACCAGUCUUAGAAACAUGACUUUCUUCCUAUCAUAGAACCUUCUAAAGCCUGACUUUCAGGAACAGAUUGAGGGUUGUAUUCUAGCUCUGCUACUUUCUUGCUGAGUUUCCUUGGGCAGGUCACUUGACCUCUCUGAUCCCCGGUUUCCUCAAUCUGUACAGUUUAGUAGUCACUCUGAGAAGAGCAGCUAUUUUUACAAUGUUUCACUUUGUGUACACGCUCCAAUCGGUAGGGACCAGAUCUUUCUUUUAUUUAGAGCAGGGCAUUCUGGGGCCCAAGGAAAGGGUCCCCUCCCCAUUUCAGCCACGCAGCUACAGAUGUGAGGACUCUAAGGCAGGACUGGCAGCAGGAAAGGAAAUUUCCUGGUACCUUCCAAUGCAUACUUGUGGCUGUGAUUGUUUUCCUUCCUUUUUAAAAAAAAAAAUUUUUUUUUUAAAUGUUUAUUUAUUUUUUCAGACGAUGUGAGAGACAGAGCAUGAGCAGGGGAGGGGCAGAAAGAGAAGGAAACCCAGAAUCUGAAGCAGGCUCCAGGCUCUGAGCUGUCAGCCCAGAGCCCGAUGCGGGGCUCGAACUCAUGAACCGUGAGAUCAUGACCUGAUCUGAAAUCGGACGCCUAACGACUGAGCCGCUCUCAGCGCCCCUUCCUUUCUUCCUUUUAAAGGAGCAUGGCUGAGCUGGUGACAGGAACAUAGUUUCUUACCAUGUCUUCUAACCCUGACUCAUGGCGCCUCUUUCUGCCUCCAUCUUGUCACCCUUCCUUUCGGCUCAGAAAGGGAGCCGAGGGGACUGCCCCAGCGCAGGUUUCUGGCUUCAAAACAGAAGGACGGAAGUGCCUACCCAAAGGAAACCGUUAGGCCCAGAUAGCAUCUCAGUCACCCAAGCCUUGCAGUCUGAACCAGCCAAGCAGUAAAUAAAGGCCAGGGCAGGAUGAAGAACAGGGGAGCAGUAGAGACACAGCCAGGGCAGGGAUCCCAUAGUGGAGCCCAUAUCACCACGGGCAGCCGGACGCAUAUGGCAGGCCCUCAACAGAUACUUGAAAAUAUGGAAGUUCUCAAUGAAUGACAGAGAGACACUAAAAGGACACCGAAGCCCGCUUACAGGAGUAUCGGCUUAGGUCACGAUCUCAUGGUCGUGAGUUCAAGCCCCACGCCGGGUUCUGUGCUGAGCAUACAGCCUGCUUGGGAUUCUCUCUUUCCCCGUCCCCCCGCUCUUUCUCUUUCUCCAAAUAAACUUAAAAAAAAAAAGAAAAGAAGUCCAUAGGUCUAAACUGAUAUAAAGAAACAAGUGGGAGAAGAGAAGGUUCUUACCGCACAAUACCAAUGGAGAAACGUAAAACAAAGUUUAGAAGAAAACUGCCAUGUGACAAUCAUCGUAGCUAUAAUUUCAGGUGAGAAACAUUAUGGGGUGUUAAAUCCGGUGGGGAAAAACGAGAUGAGGAAUGGGAUUUUACGUGAUUUAAAAAGAUCGCCCCUACAAGUUACUCAUUAAU